rnacentral:rRNA from 1 species
CGAGGUCCGGAGCUUGCUCCGGGUGCCUAGUGGCGAACGGGUGAGUAACGCGUGGGAACCUGCCCUGGAGUGGGGAACAACCUUUGGAAACGAAGGCUAAUACCGCAUACGCUCUACGGAGGAAAGGCUUCGGCCGCUCUUGGAUGGUCCCGCGUCUGAUUAGCUUGUUGGUGGGGUAAUGGCCUACCAAGGCGACGAUCAGUAGCUGGUCUGAGAGGAUGAUCAGCCACACUGGGACUGAGACACGGCCCAGACUCCUACGGGAGGCAGCAGUGGGGAAUAUUGGACAAUGGGGGAAACCCUGAUCCAGCAAUGCCGCGUGAGUGAAGAAGGCCUUAGGGUUGUAAAACUCUUUCGCCGGUGAAGAUGAUGACUGUAGCCGGUAAAGAAGCCCCGGCUAACUCCGUGCCAGCAGCCGCGGUAAUACGGAGGGGGCUAGCGUUGUUCGGAUUUACUGGGCGUAAAGCGCACGUAGGCGGCAUAUUAAGUUAGAGGUGAAAGGCCCGGGCUCAACCUGGGAACUGCCUUUGAUACUGGUAUGCUUGAGUUCGGAAGAGGGUAGUGGAAUUCCAAGUGUAGAGGUGAAAUUCGUAGAUAUUUGGA